rnacentral:rRNA from 1 species
UACGUAGGGGGCAAGCGUUGUCCGGAAUCAUUGGGCGUAAAGCGCGCGUAGGUGGCCCGGUAAGUCCGCUCUGAAAGUCAAAGGCUCAACCUUUGAAAGCGGGUGGAUACUGUCGGGCUAGAGUCCGGAAGAGGCGAGUGGAAUUCCUGGUGUAGCGGUGGAAUGCGCAGAUAUCAGGAGGAACACCAACGGCAAAGGCAGCUCGCUGGGACGGUACUGACACUAAGGCGCGAAAGCGUGGGGAGCGAACAGG